GACGAACGCUGGCGGCGUGCCUAAUACAUGCAAGUCGAACGCUUCUUUCCUCCCGAGUGCUUGCACUCAAUUGGAAAGAGGAGUGGCGGACGGGUGAGUUACACGUGGGUAACCUACCAAUCAGAGGGGGAUAACACUUGGAAACAGGUGCUAAUACCGCAUAACAGUUUAUGCCGCAUGGCAUAAGAGUGAAAGGGGCUUUCGGGUGUCGCUGAUGGAUGGACCCGCGGUGCAUUAGGAAGUUGGUGAGGUAACGGCUCACCAAGGCCACGAUGAAUAGGCGGCCUGAGGGGGUGGGUGGCCACCAUGGGAGUGAGACAUGGCCCAGACUACUACGGGAAGGAGCAGUAGGGAAUCUUCGGCCAAGGACGAAAGUCUGAACGAGCCACGGCGCAUGAGGUUAAAAAGUUCUCGGAUUUUAAAAGACUGUUGUUAGGGAAGAACAAGGACGUUAGUAACUGAACGUUGUCUGACGGUAACUAACAAGAAAACCACGGCUAACUACGUG
rnacentral:rRNA from 1 species